AGGCUUUUGUAUGUGUCAAUCUUUAGAUGAAUAUAUUCAUUGAUUCAUUCAUAGAUGAUGUGCCGGGCACUCUUCUAGAGGUUGAGAAGAUAGUGAAGAGAGGGAAUUCUGGUAGGGGCACUUCUGUAGCCUCACCAAAGUGUCUGGCAGGAGAAAUUUCCAUCUCUAGAUUGAGGAAGAAGCUCAAAAGGACAAAGGCCAGUUAUGUUCAGAAGAGAUUAAUGACUACGCACUUGCUAUCAUGGAGAACAAAUUCCAUUCCUGAAUGCAAAGCAAGAUUCAACAGAUUCUUUCACUUGCUGGCUUUGAUGGAGUAAGCUGUCAUAUGGAGAGUCCCAUGUGGAAGGAAUUAAGGGUCACCACUUGCCAACAGUGAGCAAGGAACUGAGGCCCUCAUUCAGAAAAACUGCAAGGACCUGAAUCCUGCCAACAGCCAUGGGAACUUGGAAAUGCAUCCUUCCCCAGCUACAAGCCGUUUCCUCUGACUCCAGUGCAUGUUCAUCUCCUCCUCGGUUUCCUGUCAUUGAGGCAACUGAUGCUGUUUCAUGAGAUCUCAGGCCAAUCCUACUCCUCCUGGGAAGCCCUCUCUGAUGUCACCGACCAGAUAGAGUCCCUCUAUUUUACACUCUCACAGGUCCAUAUGCUUUUCCUUCAUAGUGAUUAGUACUUAGAAUAGUUGUAAUUUAAUUGUAUUAUUCAGAAAAAUCACUGUUCUUUAUAAUACCUACGGUGCCCUGAAUAAUUAGUCUUUUUCAACAGAGAAAACGGCCAAGUCUGUAUCUUAUAAAAACCUUUGUGGAUAUAUAAAACCCUAGGUAAAAUGUAUUCUGGAUGAAUUUGGCUUGUUCAAUAAAAUGUUUAUGAUUUUUCUACAAGUACUUUUUAACCUCACCUGGGCUUUUAAACAAUAGAAUAAAAUAAUUAGGCAGAUGAGGCCAAGAUUCUGGUUUUACCUUGGUAAAGAUCAUGGCCUUUUCCAAGGGGAAGUAUGAACCGUUCUCUGAAUUUCUUCUUUUAAAAUGCUUCAAAGAGAAUCAUUAUUAAAUCAGUUCCUGGAUAGCUUCGGUUUCUGAUAUCCAGAAAAUUCUACCGUUUCUGAUAUCUGGUUUCUGAUAUCCAGAAAACCCUAUCUGUUUCCAGAGCGCAUAGUGCACACAUUUGUGUCGGCUGAUCCUUCCUUCUCCUUCCACUAUCUGGAGGUGAGUAGGGGUGGUCAGCCUCCAUCAGGGAAGGAGCACAGCUAAUCUUAACUUGUCUCCUCCCCUUUCUUCACUCUGGUCUCUACAACACAUCUGUGUUCUCCUAAGUUGCGGAAUGGGGAAAAUGUUUAUAUUGGUUUAGUUAUGAUGUGGAAAUAAGGUAAGUGCUCAGGGGUUGGACACAAUAGAAGUUUAUUUUUCUUCUGCAUUCUACGUUCCUGCAGGGCUCUCAGGAGGCUGAGCCCAUGUUGUCACUCAGAGACCCAGGUUUCAGCACCAUCUGGCUGCCCCAUCUGGAACCCUCAGCCUAAUUAGUUCCUCAGUACCCAUCGUGGGGAAGAGAGAGGACUAUAGAAUUUCACGUGAGGUUCAUUGUCUUGGAUUGGAAGCCGCACCUGUUGAUGUCACUACAGCUUCACUGGCAAGAAAUAGUUGCAUGACUUCACCUAAUCGCGGAGAGGCUAGGAAAUGGGAGGGAACAAUGGAAUAUUUGGUGAGUAAGUCUGCCAUAAAAUUCUCUUUCUAUGCAUCAGCACCAGCAGACUACCUUUAAGGACAUGGAUGAGGCAGAUGGUUUGAGAUAGGUAGGAACUGGAGCAUUAGUGUUUUGUAAGUUUAAUGCUAAGAUGGGCAUGUUAUUAUAACAUUUGGAAAUUUUGUUAAAGACAAGUAGAGGACUGAUUGCGAACUUACAAGUUUAAAUCCCAGAAAUGGAUUUGUCAUAGAACAUUAUGGCAAAGAUGUCUCACCUUUUAUAAUAUAAAUUACUCUGUUUUUCUUAAGGUGAAGGCCUGUAGAUAUUUUAUUUUGAUCCAUUCAUAAUGGAAAUGGGUCUUAAGAUCUCAUCAUUACUUAUGUUCAUUUUAUCUAUUUAAAUUUAAAUCACCUCACUUCAAGUAUUAAUGUAUAAUUUUUUUUCUACACAUGUCAUUGCUGCUGUAAUUUCGUUAAUCCUUCUGGUUAUGGAGUAAUUAACGUGGGCCAUUUACCUUUCAAAAAUGUCUGUUCACCAUUAUGUCACAAGUUGAAAGUGCUUUAAGAAAACUGAAGCCCAGAGGUAUCAGGUGACUUGUCCUAUGUUUAAUAAUUUUCUACUUUGUAACAACAGACACUCUUCUAGCAGUUAAUGGACUGAGAUUGGUGGGUGCAGACAUUAGUAAGGAAUGGUCUUGACACUUGCGGAUUUCAUUUUAUCGCAGCGGCUCCCAAACUUCACUCUUUAUAACAACCCCUUGGGCUGCUUGUGAGAAACGUAGUUUCAUUGGUUUCCCGCAGGGCUUUGGGUUCAGUGCGUGUGGGGGAGGGAUCUACAUUUUGACAAGCAUGUUCCACGUGACUAUGAUGCAGGUGACGUACCAACUUUUGGCUUAAUGCUGGUUUACUAAAUCACACACACCAGUCUUAUUCUCUCUCCUACUGUUCUAUUCUACUGAGGGGAAAAUUUGGAGGAAUUUAUCACAUAGAAAUAUUUCUUUCUGUGUCAGAGCUCUUACAGGUUGGGUUCUUACAGUUGCAAACAAUAUAAAUUAACUCUGGCUGUUUGAAGCAGGAAAGAAAUUUAUUAAAGGGAAUUGAAUAGCUCCGAGUCCUCGGGGAGGGCUGGAGAACCAGGCACAGAGACUAAGCAAGGGAAUGAUGCCUAAAGUCUACUUCAGUGUUGCUCCAGAGGAUAAACCAUUGUCGCAUGCCUAGGCACGGAUCUGUAGCUCAUCCAGAUGAUACUCUCAACUCUGAGUGCUAGAAGCUACUGCUAGAAUCUCUACUCCAGCUGCCCCAGCCAGGUCUAGAAACUGCAUGUAGCUGCUGUUGCUCUCCCUAGGAAGGAUUACAUGCGGGGCCUGCUUUACUGGGUUGACUCCAAGACCAGCCUGUCUCAUCUGAUUGGCAGAGCUUGAUCACAGUCUGCACCCAGCUCCAGGGCAGGUCAGGAAAGGAAUAUCUGGCUUCUGCAGUGGGAGGUGUUCUCUGCCUGCCACCAAGAAUCAUGAGGUAAUGAUGCUCAAAGAUACUAUGUUGCCAAAAAGAACAACAGAAGAUCUACACCACAUUUAUCCUAUUUGAAUUUAGGAACACAGACAACUUUCUUGUCCUACAUUGCUGAUUGUUAGUUUAUGGUGUUGAAUUAAUGGUCCUAUGAUUGAAAAUGAGUUUUUAUUGCAUGCAAAUUUCAGCAUAUAAUUUAUAAAGAACUAUUUUAAAAGAGAUGUUUAGUUUUAUAUCCUUCUGACUUAGGAAUAUUUCAUUUCAAGAAUAACUCUAAUAUCCAUGUUGGUUGAAAAAACAAUUCUCUCUCUUCUACCUCAGGGAAAAUUUGGUAAAGAAAGGAAACCUUUUCUGAGAAUUUUGUGGGAGAAAUUAGUGUGAAACAGGAGAAAAAAAUGUCUCCUUCCAGAGAAGACAUACUAUUGAGCUACAAAAGAUUUUCUAUCGUGAGAGAGAACUUGGCUGACUCAGGGUGUACAUAGUGAUUUUCCCAAUGUGUUCCUUGCAUCAGAGCAUGUGAGAGGCUUUGAUUCCUUUGGACAGGAUGUGCUCCACAGAUAGGUUUUAUUCUUUGCCCUUAAGGUUUUUUAUUGCUAGGCAAUGAAAUAAGAAGUGUACUGGGGGAAGAAAUCCUCAAUGUGGUAGCUUUAAAACAGGAAAAAUGGAGCAAUCAGUAAAAAAUGCUUUACUUAUUCAUUUGGCAAAUAUUUAUUGAGUGUCUACUCUAGAAAAAUGUUUAUCACAUGUUUACUACCCUCAAGAAGAAGCUCACAAACAAGUGGGAACCCAGCAAUAAUUGGAUUGUAAAAAUACAUACAAGAUGAAAACAUGGGGUGCUAUGAGAGUAGAGAUAAGGCAUAUUUAACUUAAAAUGGGAGGUGACAAAGCUGGCUUUAUAGAAUCAAUAAUUCUUCUGAGUAUCAUAAAGGCUGAGAAUGAGUUAGCCAGCAGAUGGUGGGUAUGGGAUGUAUUACAGAGAAUAGCAUGCGCCAGAGGCAGGCAUGGCUGUAGCACAACAUGGCACGGAUGCGUGAAAAGACAUUUAGGGAAACUGGAAGAAGAAGAGACCAUGAUAUGGGACUAGCAGAGCUAAGACUCAAGGGACAGGUCAACUGGGGCCAACUCCGUUGUCCUGAGGACAACGGAGAACCACUGAAGUAGUUAAGUUAGAUAUGUUAGUGAUCUGUUUGAAGGCCGAGAAAUGGGAUGAUGGAUGAUGAGGGUGGGAAUGAGUUUUUAGAAUGUUUCAGUAAUCCCAUCGGGAAAAGAUAAGGCCAUAAAUUAAAGUUAGAGAAAAUGGGAUGGAUUCCAAAGAUACUUAUAUAGAGAAUUGAUGAAGCAUAAACACUAAUCGCAUGUAGGGAGUCCAGGAAAGGGUUUAGUCAAAGAUAAUUCCCAGACACGUAAUUUGAACAACUAAAUGGGUAGUGUUGCCACUCUUCAAGACAGAGUAUGUCUUUGGGAGAAAGAAAUUGAAUUUCGCUUUGGGUGUGUAUUGAGGAGGACAUCCAAAGGGAGAUGUACCCUUGGUACAGGUGGCUAUAUGGGAAUGGAGAUCAAGAGAAAGGUCAAGCCAGAGGUAUGGAUUUCUCAGGUUUUAGGUUGUAGUUGAAGCCACUGGUGAAGGUAAGGCUGCGCAGUGAGAUUGUGAGAAAGAGGGCAAAGAAUGGAAUCCUGAGAUUACCAGCGCAUGAAGAGAAGAUUGAGGUGCAGGCCGUGAAGGAAACUUGCAGCAUCACUGUAGGGAGGAACGCUUAUCAUCUUCCCCAUCAGCUCCCUUUGCCUCCACACUCAUUCUCCCAGGUAAGUCAGCCUAAUCCCUAACCCACUUUCUCUAAUUUUGAGAUCUGCUUCACUGCAUAAAGGGACUGUUUCUGUUUGCUCUCUGCCUUAGGGUAAGAGGCUUGUCUCUGUGGAACAUCCUGAGGCUGUCCAGCUGGGCUGGAGCCUUAUGAGUGAACAUGUUCAUUCAAAGUGAACUAUUAAUAGACCUCCUUGACUGCAUUUCUGAUCAGUGAUUCUCAACUGGGGGAGAUUUUGCACCCCCCCCCCCCCCCCCCCACCGAGGGACAUUUGGCAAUGUCUGAAGAUAUUUUUGGUUGUUAUAAUUAGGGGGAGGGAGAGAGUGCUAUUGACACCUAGUGGGUAGAAGCUAGGGAUGCUGCUAAACAUCCUACAAGGCAUAGAGCAAACUUCCUCCCUAACAGAGAAUUAUUUGGCCCAACAUGUCGACAGUGCCGAGGUUGAGAAACUCUUAUCUAAAUCAUAUUCUUCAAUAAUGUAUGUUAAUAAUGUAACGUAAAACAAUAGUGUAAUGUUAAUACAAAUGUUUGGCUCCUGAGUCUGUCUCUGUUUGGCUACAGAGUUUGGUGGGGAAGAGAAUGGCAUUAUGUCUUGGGCCCCCUAAAACACCAUCAAAGAGUGGCCAGAAGAUAGGAGAGAAAGCAGGGAAAGGGUGUCCUGGAAACCAGGAUGAUGGUGUGCUUAAGAGGGAGAGGCCUUCUUGGUAAACUGCUUCUGAGAGGUCUAGCAAGGCAGGGACUGAAAAGAAUUUUUAAGAUUUAACAUUUGUGACUUCCCUAAUGAUCUUCAGAGGCGUUUGGGUGAGAAGAUGAAGCUAGAGCAGAUUUCCUUGAGGAGCAGAUGAAUGGUGAGGAAAUGGCAACAGCCGGUGCUAUGUUCUCUUUCUCUGGCUGUUGCGGAGAAGCAAGAGAGAAGAUGAUAGUUGUAAGGGAAAGGGGGAAGGUUGAACACAUUUGUGUAAUAAAUGGAGAGGCUAGCAGAGAGGGGAUGUCUGAAGACCAGGCAAAAGAGGAGAAACAUGUGGAGCAACGUCCCUGAGGAGGUCAGAGGGAGGGAAAAUCCAGAGCACAAGUGAGAGGACUGGCUUUGCUCUGGAGGAGGGAUUUCUCUUCCGUGAAUAUGAAGAUGUGGGAGAAAGUAAGCAGAUGCAAUUGGCUUUGUGAAACUGAGGCCUUCUUGGGGUGGGGAGAGGAGGAAGAGGCAGCUCCCGCAGAUCUCCCUCCUCAGCUUCUUUUCAGACUUGCUGAACUAAAAAGGUGGUACCAUUUUCUGAGACCUCAGAGGGUGGAGGUAGAAUGCAGAGCCUGUAGGGACUGUGAAAGUUUGAAAUCAAAAUCCAAUGGAGAAAAAGCAUCACCCAGGGACCAUUCCAUUAGCUCUACUUUCUUUCUUUUUUAAAAAAUCUAAUUUGGCUUUACAUUCUUUUAAUUGAAAUAUAUUUGACAUAUACCAUUGUAUAAGUUUAAGUUAUACAACAUGCUGAUUUGAUAUAUUUACACAUUGUAAUGUGAUUACCAUUGUAGUGUUAGCUAGCACCUCUAUCACGUUACAUAACUAUCAUUUUUUUUUUGUGGUGGGAAUAAUUAAGAUCUAAUCUCUUCACAAGUUUGAUGUUUCUAGGACAAUAUUGUUGUCUAUAGUCUCCAUAUCGUGCAUUAGAUCUUCAGGACUUACUUAUCUACUAGUUGCAAGUUAGCCUUACUUUAUUAGUUUCCGAGCGGUUUCUGGGGAGACUGGGAGGGCGCGAUCUGGUCACUCACAUUUCCAAGCAAGUCAGGCUAGAAAUCUCAGGCUCUCACAUUUCUUUUCCCCAAACUGUCCUCCCGGAAGACAAGUAGAGGAGGCCAGAGGGGUAGGAUGGCGGUACUCCCACCUUCCUGCUUCUUUCCUGCCUCUCAUGACCAAAUUCCACGAACCAUCAUGCUGAGUGUCUCGCUUAGCUCCCAAAAGGUAACAUUUCCCUUGUGUGAUGUGAAUUUACCCUGCUGCCUUCCCGUAACUGCUGAGUCUUGGUACCUUAGCAGAUAACCUGUCUCAGACCCAGGUGCAUCACAUCUAGUACUUGGACUUUGGCAAACAGUAUCUCUUGCACCAGCGGUUCAGAAAGUAUGAUGACGUUGCUUGCAUCCCAAGUUGUUGGAAUUUUUAUGAGUACUUUAAUGGCCCAUAGAGACAACAGGAUGCAACAUUUGAAAUAGAUCUCAUACUGGGAUGCCCAGGAAAAGGUGGCCCUAAGGGUAACCACCUGCUUCACCUCCUUGCAAGAAUGACUUUGGAAUACUUUGCUCCACUUACUUGAAUUUCUGAAAUGCUUAUGGUACUCCUGUUCACAGCCCUACCACAAAGGGAGCUUGACUGUUUUUAUUUCCAUCUCUAAAUUCCUGCAAAGGUUUUAGAGUUAUUUUACCCACUGGUAAAUGUAAUAGGCAGUGAUAUUCAGAUAGUGCACAGUUAAGCUUGCCUUUCCUUUCUACAUAAAAGCGCAUGCUAAUGGUCGCUGGAUAAUUAAAAUUAAACCACAUUCAAUAGAUAAACAAAUUAAAGCAGAGCAAAUUGUGUGCAUGCCUCCCUAAACAGCAAACACAUUAUCAGAGAGGGCAAUUCUAAUUAUUCAAGGAUAUAGCAAGAGCUAUUGAUUUGUUUUAAGAUAGGAAAGUUUCUUCAGUAUUAAUGGAUAGUAUUUGUUUACGAGCCAAAUUCUUGGUAAUACUGAAGAAAUUAAAAAGGAAAUUGGAUCAAAGCUACCCAAACCUUACAGACUAAUAAGAACAUACCAAACAAUAGAUCAUGAUCUGCUAGUAUUUUUUCUGACUUUUGUUUUUUCGAGGAAGAUUCGCUCUUAGCUAACAUCUGUUACCAAUCUUCCUAUUUUCUUGCUUGAGGAAGAUUAUCCCUGAGCUAAUGUCUGUGCCAAUCUUCCUCUAUUUUGUAUGUGGGUUGCCACCAUAGCAUGGCUGAUGAGUGGUGUAGGUUCAUGCCCAGGAUCUGAACCUGUGAACCUGGGCUGCUGAAGUGGAACGUGCUGAGCUCAACCACUAGGCUACAGGGCCGGCUCCAACAAGUUUUUAAUCACAAGGUAACACAUGAAUUUCUUUUCUUUGUAAAAUGUUACAAUAUUUCUGACUAUCCCCAAGUAUCCAUCUCUUCUUCAGAGGUAACACUUGCUAUUGGUUUGGUGUGGAGAAUUCUAGAUGGUUUCUCAUGAAUCUUAAGUACACUUAUUCAUAUUUACCCAUACAUCUUUUACAAUGUCAUAUUGUGGACUUUUUAACUGUUUGUCUUUUGGUUUCUAGCCCAAAUGAGAUCAUGCUAUAUACACAUUUCUUGCAAAUGCAUUUAUCAUUCAAUAAUAUGCCUUAGAGAGUGUCGGUGUCACAAUCCAAUGUACACAUCAGGAUAGAUGCGUAGAGGGCUGAUGGCCACUCUGAGUUUAUUAUAACCAGCAUUUCAAUAUAUACAUAGCUUACAUCUGUUAAACAUACACAGGUGUUGUGAACAAUGUAAUUAGUGAAUGCCAAGAAUUGUUAGUGAUCUCUCAAGGAGCCCUCCCUCGGUCUCUGUUUUGAUAUUAUCAUGUUAUUGCUGUGCUCGUAUAUUUUUAUCUCGGAGCAUGCAAGGCCUCCUAGGCAAUGGCCCCUCCUGCUCCCAACAUUGUGUGUCCAUCUGUGCCCCCAGGCGACCGUGCCUGGCUUAG
ensembl:lncRNA